rnacentral:rRNA from 1 species
UACGGGGGGGGGCAAGCGUUGUUCGGAUUUACUGGGCGUAAAGGGCGCGUAGGCGGUCAGCACAAGUCAGUUGUGAAAUCUCCGGGCUUAACUCGGAAAGGUCAACUGAUACUGUGCGACUAGAGUGCGGAAGGGGCAACUGGAAUUCUCGGUGUAGCGGUGAAAUGCGUAGAUAUCGAGAGGAACACCUGCGGCGAAGGCGGGUUGCUGGGCCGACACUGACGCUGAUGCGCGAAAGCCAGGGGAGCGAACGGGG